GCUUGUCUCAAAGAUUAAGCCAUGCAUGUCUCAGUAUAAGUUCCUGUACGGCGAAACUGCGAAUGGCUCAUUAAAACAGUUAUAGUUUAUUUGAUGGUCGUUCCUUACAUGGAUAACUGAGGUAAUUCUUGAGCUAAUACAUGCGAAAAAUCUCGACUCACGGAGAGAUGCUUUUAUUAGAUCAAAACCAAACGGCUUCGGCCGUCUCAUUGGUGACUCUGAAUAACUUUGGGCUGAUCGUAUGGCCUUGUGCCGACGACGUUUCCUUCGAAGGUGUGCCCUAUCAACUGUCGACUGUGAUAUAGACGCUCACAGUGGUUUUGACGGGUAACGGGGAAUCAGGGUUCGAUUCCGGAGAGGGAGCCUUAAAAACGGCUACCACAUCCAAGGAAGGCAGCAGG
rnacentral:rRNA from 1 species